rnacentral:lncRNA from 1 species
AGGUAGUGUGGUAUUACAGACCUUUAAUAGUAAGGAUAUACAUAUAAUACUAAAAGAAAUAAUAUACUAGGAGCCUUGAAACAGAGCGGGUAAACAAAAAUCGCAAAAUAAAAAGCGCAACGCUCAAGGAAUAGGAUUACUUGCGUGCUAAGAAACCUAAUAGGAACAUGAUAAAACAAUAAACGAAGGGAUAAAGAAAAGCCAAAGAACAACAUAACUAGCCUCUGACUCAGCCUGCGAAGCUAAGGCUGGCCGGAGGAUACAUAUAUACAUAUAAACAUACAUAAGUGUCCCCAAAAUAUACCAAAAUACCAAAGUAAACUCCUAUCUCUCCCUCAACCUCUAAGAGAAGCAGCAUACAUAAGUUACUUGGAGAGUAAGCUACACAUAUAUAUACAUAUAUACAAAUAAAAACCAAAAUACACCCAAGGACUACUUCGCUUUCCAGAAUCCAGACGCUUAGCGAGGAGCCUCUCGACCUGCAUCUGAAAAACAACAAUACAAUAUGGAAUGAGAACCGGAGGUUCUCAGCAUGGUAAAAGUGCCACGCGUAUAAGAAAAUACGGUCUUGAGAAUGCCAUAGGCAAUCCUAGAACUCCGUUAUUCAAUUAUCCAACUUAAGUACUAAACAGAAGCCAUAAACAGGGGUAGGUAUUCUAAAUCUGCCUAACUUACUCAAGUUCAAGCUUAACCUAACACCAAACCAUUUCCUCCGUUUCCUCCAUCCUUUCAUCAUUCAGAAUGCAACAGAAACAAGCAACCAAACAAGUUCACUCACAAGUAAUGAUCAAAUAGUACAAAUAGCAAGUAUAACAAAUAGCAGGUAAUAUAUAUCAAUUAGGCAUACCCAGGA